rnacentral:rRNA from 1 species
GAUGGAACGCUGGCGGCGUGCUUAACACAUGCAAGUCGAACGAAGCACUUAAUGAAGAUUUCUUCGGAUUGAUUAUUUUGUGACUGAGUGGCGGACGGGUGAGUAACGCGUGGGUAACCUGCCCCAGACCGGGGGAUAACAGUCGGAAACGACUGCUAAUACCGCAUAAGCGCACAGUGCCGCAUGGCACAGUGUGAAAAACUCCGGUGGUCUGGGAUGGACCCGCGUCCGAUUAGCUUGUUGGUGAGGUAACGGGCCCACCAAGGCGACGAUCAGUAGCCGGCCUGAGAGGGUGAACGGCCACAUUGGGGACUGAGACACGGCCCAGACUCCUACGGGAGCAGCAGUGGGGAAUAUUGCACAAUGGGGGAAACCCUGAUGCAGCGACGCCACGU